GAUGAAGAACGUAGCAAAAUGCGAUAAGUAAUGUGAAUUGCAGAAUUCAGUGAAUCAUCGAACCUUUGAACGCACAUUGCGCCCGCCAGUAUUCUGGCGGGCAUGCCUGUUCGAGCGUCAUUUCAACCCUCAAGCACAGCUUGGUGUUGGGACUCGCGUUAAUUCGCGUUCCCCAAAUUGAUUGGCGGUCACGUCGAGCUUCCAUAGCGUAGUAGUAAAACCCUCGUUACUGGUAAUCGUCGCGGCCACGCCGUUAAACCCCAACUUCUGAAUGUUGACCUCGGAUCAGGUAGGAAUACCCGCUGAACUUAAGCAUAUCAAUAAGCGGAGGA
rnacentral:misc_RNA from 1 species